GGGCGAGUGGCGGAAUUGGCAGACGCGCAGGAUUCAGGUUCCUGUGGGCGCAAGCCUGUGGGGGUUCGAGUCCCCCCUCGCCCA
rfam:Actinobacteria bacterium RBG_16_70_17 RBG_16_scaffold_8634, whole genome shotgun sequence.